rnacentral:rRNA from 1 species
GAUGAACGCUGGCGGCGUGCCUAAUACAUGCAAGUCGAGCGAACAGACGAGGAGCUUGCUCCUUUGACGUUAGCGGCGGACGGGUGAGUAACACGUGGGUAACCUACCUAUAAGACUGGGAUAACUUCGGGAAACCGGAGCUAAUACCGGAUAAUAUUUCGAACCGCAUGGUUCGAUAGUGAAAGAUGGCUUUGCUAUCACUUAUAGAUGGACCUGCGCCGUAUUAGCUAGUUGGUAAGGUAACGGCUUACCAAGGCAACGAUACGUAGCCGACCUGAGAGGGGGGUCGGCCACACUGGAACUUGAAACCGGUCCCAACUCCUACGGGGGGCAGCAGUAGGGAAUCUUCCGCAAUGGGCGAAAGCCUUACGGAGCAACGCCGCGUUGGGGAUGAAGGUCUUCGGAUCGUAAAACUCUGUUAUUAGGGAAGAAUAAACGUGUAAGUAACUGUGCACGUCUUGACGGUACCUAAUCAGAAAGCCACGGCUAACUACGUG